CAGAACAAGGCCCCACGGCGGCUCCCAGCUCAGCACCAGCCCAGGCCUCCACGCAGGCCCAGGCCUGCGCGCUGGGCUGGCCAGCCGGCCUCUUCGAUGGGACUUUCCUCUUCUCCAGGUCCUGCCGGAUCUCCUGGGGGAAGGCCUGGAUGUUCUUCUGGACACACGGGAGGCAGAACCUCCUGGAGUAGAACAGACUGCAGUCCUGGGGGAGGAGGGCAGACUGAGGGCCGGGGCGCGGGCGCAGGCGGGCAGGGGCUGGGCGGGCCCAGGAUGCACGGGCAGCUGAGGGGAGGUGGGAGGGUGCAGCUGGAGCCAGAACAGCAGGAGGGAGGCCCAAGGGGGUGGCCCAGGGGAAAAAGAAACGGGGGAGGGGGCCAGGGGCAGCCCUGCAGGCACGCGUGUCGGGUUUUCAUUCGUGGGAGCCAUGAGCCUCCGAGAAGGCCUGGGGCAGUGGCCCUGUGCCUCUGAGGGGCUGGGGGCUGUUUCAGUGCAGGUGACCAGUCCAGGGCAGGACGCUUAGCCCCUCGGGCAGGCUCACCCGGAUCCCAGGGCCACACUCAGCUCCCCCUGGUGUUCUCAGACACCAGGCUCAGCCUGCUGGGCCCCCGGCUCCCUCACCUGUAACAUGGCGCAGACUGACUGGGGCUGGGGAGAGGGACUGAGAAGCCCCAUGGCUAAGGCAGCCCCCAAGCAGGGCCUGGCACACAGAUGCUCGGGGGGCCCCCGAUGACCCCCAGAAAGAAGGUCCCCACCCCGGGGAUGGGGAGGGCCUGCAUGGGGCCGCUGGGGUGGUGCAGAGCCUCCCAGAAGCUACCUGUACCCCUCGGGCCCCACAGAGACCCUGGCUGGCCCAGCGUGCCCUCCGUGUGCCCUCUGCCCCGUGCUGGCUGCGGGACCCCCAAAGGGAGGCAGACCAGCCGGCCUCCGAGAGCCGCCUGGGCCCUGGUGACUGAGGACCGGGACCCUGAGGAGAGGAAAGCUGGUGCGCUCUGCCCUCGGGAAUGGCUCCCGGGCCACCUGUCCCGUCAUGCGUGUGGGGUCCCAGCCCGGGAUGGGGGCGGGGGGGGGGGCGUGAGGGGGAGGAAGGGAGGCAGUGGCGCUGGCUUACCCACCGGGCCCACACACACCAGCCGGCCGCAGACACUGCACCGGGAGCCCAGGACCAGGAACCUGUCCUUGUCGGGGCUGAAG